CGCCCAGAGCCGCAGCCGCCGCGCAGGCAGGGCCGGGCCGGGCCGGGUGCGCGGGCACAAAGGGGCCGCUGCACAUGGCAGGCAGGCGAGCAGAUGCCAGCAGACAGCUUUUGUCGUCCAGUCUCCCAGUCAUCCGCCUGACCUGCUCCUGUCUGAACAUCCUACCGCGAGUCAAGGCAAAUGGGCUCAGCCGCUGUUCCACUCCACCCAGGCUUGGAGUGGACUCCCCGUGAGCCUGCAGAGGGGCAGGAUGCUGAGUAGCAGGCCAUGCGGGUGCGCCCGGGGUCUCACCCCAGCCCCAGGGAAGAGGCUGUUUCAUUCAGUGAACCAAGAGAUUAUUUUCCACUGGGGCUCCCAUCGAUGCUGAGUUCUGGCUACUUUUUUCCCCUGAUGCUGAAAGGUUCGAUUCUUCCAUCUAUCCAUCAACAAAUCACAUUGAAUGACGGUGCUCAGUGACCCAGGAUGCCACUGGAGACAAAACACACUAUACAUAUUUUCUGGUCUCCCUGGAAAAUUAGUGCAAACACUUUCAUCACUGCGGAGAAGGGAAAUAUGCGCGGAGCUGUGAAAAUCUGCUUUGUUUUUUGUUUUUCUAAGAGGAGAUUUCCCCCUCCUUCAAACAGUGAAAUUUAUAUUGUUCUUUGUCUGCAAAUUAACCAGUUAAGUAGAAUUCCUGUAUGUCUCUUUCACUUUCUGCAAGCCAAGGCCCCUCUUUCUCUCCACCCUGUAUUCAUACAUAGUCCAGGAUCACCCCCUGUCCCCCUCCAAUGCUGCUUGAAAUUUCAUUCCAUUUUCGUCCUGACUUGUUCAAAGUAACAUUUAAAAUAUUUUAAUUCAAAUUCUUAUCUCAUCCAUCCUGUUUAAGUUCCAUUUUAAAGAAUCUUCUUUUCUUA
rnacentral:lncRNA from 1 species